CGCAUCCUUCGGGGUUGAGUGGCAGACGGGUGAGUAACGCGUGGGAACGUGCCCUUCAGUUCGGGAUAACCCAGGGAAACUUGGGCUAAUACCGGAUACGUGCGAGAGCAGAAAGAUUUAUCGCUGAAGGAUCGGCCCGCGUCUGAUUAGCUAGUUGGUAGGGUAAUGGCCUACCAAGGCGACGAUCAGUAGCUGGUCUGAGAGGAUGAUCAGCCACAUUGGGACUGAGACACGGCCCAAACUCCUACGGGAGGCAGCAGUGGGGAAUAUUGGACAAUGGGCGCAAGCCUGAUCCAGCCAUGCCGCGUGAGUGAUGAAGGCCUUAGGGUUGUAAAGCUCUUUCGUCCGGGACGAUAAUGACGGUACCGGAAGAAGAAGCCCCGGCUAACUUCGUGCCAGCAGCCGCGGUAAUACGAAGGGGGCUAGCGUUGUUCGGAAUCACUGGGCGUAAAGGGCGCGUAGGCGGCUUUGUAAGUCGGGGGUGAAAGCCUGUGGCUCAACCACAGAAUUGCCUUCGAUACUGCAUGGCUUGAGACCGGAAGAGGUAAGUGGAACUGCGAGUGUAGAGGUGAAAUUCGUAGAUAUUCGCAAGAACACCAGUGGCGAAGGCGGCUUACUGGUCCGGUUCUGACGCUGAGGCGCGAAAGCGCGGGGAGCAAACAGGAUUAGAUACCCUGGUAGUCCACGCCGUAAACGAUGAAUGCCAGCCGUUGGCGAGCUUGCUCGUCAGUGGCGCAGCUAACGCUUUAAGCAUUCCGCCUGGGGAGUACGGUCGCAAGAUUAAAACUCAAAGGAAUUGACGGGGGCCCGC
rnacentral:rRNA from 1 species